rnacentral:rRNA from 1 species
CCCUUAGACGUUCUGGGCCGCACGCGCGCUACACUGACACAGGCAACGAGCUACUCUUCACCGAAAGGUGUGGGUAAUCUUUUGAAACUUUGUCGUGCUGGGGAUAGAUCCUUGCAAUUUUUGAUCUUAAACGAGGAAUUCCUAGUAAGCGCAAGUCAUCAACUUGCGUUGAUUACGUCCCUGCCCUUUGUACACACCGCCCGUCGCUACUACCGAUUGAAUGGUUUAGUGAGGCCUUCGGAUCCGCGACUCGUUUGUGGAGAAGUUGGACAAACUCAGUCAUUUAGAGGAAGUAAAAGUCGUAACA